GGUGGGAGCGGGCUUGCUCGCGAUGCAAGCAAUGCGGUCUUUCUGGAUACGCUCAGCGCCCCUAUCGCGAGCAAGCCCGCUCCCACA
rnacentral:antisense_RNA from 1 species